GUUGGUGAGGUAACGGCUCACCAAGGCGACGAUGCGUAGCCGGCCUGAGAGGGUGACCGGCCACACUGGGACUGAGACACGGCCCAGACUCCUACGGGAGGCAGCAGUAGGGAAUCUUCCGCAAUGGGCGAAAGCCUGACGGAGCGACGCCGCGUGAGCGAAGAAGGCCUUCGGGUCGUAAAGCUCUGUUGUGAGGGACGAAGGAGCGCCGUUCGAAGAGGGCGGCGCGGUGACGGUACCUCACGAGAAAGCCCCGGCUAACUACGUGCCAGCAGCCGCGGUAAUACGUAGGGGGCGAGCGUUGUCCGGAAUUAUUGGGCGUAAAGCGCGCGCAGGCGGUCUCUUAAGUCUGAUGUGAAAGCCCACGGCUCAACCGUGGAGGGUCAUUGGAAACUGGGGGACUUGAGGGCAGGAGAGGAGAGCGGAAUUCCACGUGU
rnacentral:rRNA from 1 species